UACGUAGGUGGCAAGCGUUGUCCGGAUUUAUUGGGUUUAAAGGGUGCGUAGGCGGUCCUAUAAGUCAGUGCUGAAAUCUCCCGGCUUAACCGGGAGGGUGGCAUUGAUACUGUAGGACUUGAGUAAAGUUGAGGUUGGCGGAAUUGACGGUGUAGCGGUGAAAUGCUUAGAUAUCGUCAAGAACACCUAUUGCGAAGGCAGCUAACUAAGCUUUAACUGACGCUGAGGCACGAAAGUGUGGGGAGCAAACAGG
rnacentral:rRNA from 1 species